AGCGAACGCUGGCGGCAGGCUUAAUACAUGCAGGUCGAGCGGGUGUAGCAAUACAUCAGCGGCAGACGGGUGAGUAACGCGUGGGAACGUACCUUUUGGUUCGGAACAACCCAGGGAAACUUGGGCUAAUACCGGAUAAGCCCUUACGGGGAAAGAUUUAUCGCCGAAAUAUCGGCCCGUGUCUGAUUAGCUAGUUGGUGAGGUAAUGGCUCACCAAGGCGACGAUCAGUAGCUGGUCUGAGAGGAUGAGCAGCCACAUUGGGACUGAGACACGGCCCAAAAACCUACGGGAGGCAGCAGUGGGGAAUAUGAGACAAUGGGGGCAACCCUGAUCCAGCCAUACCGCGUGAGUGAUGAAGGCCCUAGGGUUGUAAAGCUCUUUUGUGCGGGAAGAUCAUGACGGUACCGCAAGAAUAAGCCCCGGCUAACUUCGUGCCAGCCGCCGCAGUAACAC
rnacentral:rRNA from 1 species